GAGUCAUCAAUCAAUUCUUCUAAACUUUUUAUAUAUACAAAUUGAAUCAAGACCAAGGCAGUAUACUGCCGUAAUAAACAAAAAAAAUAAAAACAAUAAAAAAGUUAACUUUGCCGUGUUACAGUAUAUUUGAAAGAAAAAUAGAAAAGUUAGUAAAUGAUGUAAAUUUUCCUAUAGUGAUUCGGCCCAAAACAAGCCCAAGAAGAGAAAGUCAAAUAAGAGUCAAAUGAGUCUCCUUGUUUGUAUUCUUCAACCUAUCUCUCCUUCCUCAAACUCACGGCUAUGGCUUUUUUAGGGUUCUUACUACUGAGACAAAGCUUGGGAAAUUGUUUCUAUGGGUUCUCUAAUGUCUUCUCUUCUACCCCCACAAAAUGGUUAGGGUUAUAGGUCUAGGUUUUCUUUCUUUUCUGCUGUCUCAACCCACAACAACAAAUCACUCUUACCCAGAAAACAACCUUGAAAAUCUCACGCCUCAAACACUAAGAACAGAACCCAGAAACUUUCUUGCCAAACUAGUAGCAACAACACAUUACAGAGUAGUAUGGUCUCGUGCGGAUCUUCUCUUAGCCAACAAAAUCAAGAGGAGAAAAAGAAAGAACAAAACAAUACUGAAGAAGGAAAAAGUACAAAGAAGAGAGAGCUUAAAACAACUGCUCUAUGAGAAGAGAGAAGGAAGAGUGGAUGGAAUGUCGUUCAAAGAAAGGAGGAAGGGAGAGGGUGAAGCACUGCAUAAAUUUUUAGCAGGAAACGAUGGUAAUAAACCUUGAUACUUACUGUUGGAGAAACUAACUUUUCAUUUUCAUGGAGUUUCGCCAAAAUUUCAAGAAUCAUACUAAUUGCAUCCACAGAUUA